AUAUUAUGAAUAAGGAGCAAAGAAGCUGUUUAAUCUGCUUUCACAUUUGGCACAUACAUGAGCUAUGAAGCUGGUGCUUGUGGGCGGUGCUCCUAGGCUGAGGAGUGUAUGUAUAAAGCUGCUUGGUGUCAUCUUAGUAGGUGCUGCUGCCCAGAUGUUCAAGGUAAUUUGACCUCAGAGAUGUUCUUUCCCUGCAAGUCUGACCACUGUUUUGGUAAAAGCAGAAAGCUGCUCAUUAUCUCGUCUCAGCUGGCUCUUGGCUACAGAUGAAGACCUGACCUGCCGGGCUGGGGAGCUGGAUGUGGCCAUUAGCCAAGAGGUGUCGGGUGAAUUCUUACCAAGCUUUGUAUGCCAAGGGAGAUACCACCGGUAGAGUUUAUUCUGCUUAUUAUGUUUCUUCAUUGUUGAUCUUCCUGGGCGAAUGAUUAAAAGGAAUGACUCACUCUGUGCUCGUU